ensembl:snRNA U4 U4 spliceosomal RNA
AUCCUUUCGCAGUGGCAGUAACCUGUGAGGUUUUUCUGAGGUGCAAUCUUUGCUAGUUGAAAACUUUUGAGGUUCUCCUCCAACAGUGAAAGGAAUCCUGAGAAAGUGCCACCAGAGGAUGUAC